AGGCCACCAGAUAAUUUUUAUCAAUUUUUAUAGUGCAACAAUCCUUGGAGUAACAAUCUGAUAAAUGUAUUGUGCGACUGGGGAGUAUUUUUUAUUGAUCUGAUCUGAUCCAGGGUUAAUUCCAUGCAGCAGUCGGAAGGAACCAAUAUUUCAGAUAAGACCAUAUAAACUCUGGUUAAUAGGAAGAUGCUAACUAUACUAGGCCUAUGUACAUGAUAAACGAUUGUAUUGUACAACAUAACUAAUUGUAGCAGAGAGAUUUUACUUUUAUCAUUAGGUCUGCUUUGGAGAAUAGAACCAUUAUCAUUGAAGACCAAAGCGAAGACAGGCACAUUCCACAUUAUGCUGAGAUGCCCCCUUGUCAGUGUCACUCUAUCAACCACGACAACCACAACACCAAACCCGGAAAUAUUUUCAACAUUGGCACGUGUUCUGCAUUCUGGGGCUGCUGCUGAUGGAACUCUGCUUGGAUGAUUACUAAGCUAGCGGCUUGUUUCAUUCUCUGAGAACCAGUAUCAUGAUUGGAGAUGCGUGGGAUGUCCUUAAAAGGCAACAGUUGGGUCUGACAUUGGGCAUCUUAAUUGCUCUUCUUGUGAUCUUCAUUGCCCUUGCUGUCCUCGUCUACAAGCCAAUGAGAGGCACAACAACCCGGAGGGCUGAGCCAGGGACCCAGUAUACUCAUACAGGAAGACAGAUGUAAUCGAACUGUCCAUAUGCGACUUCAAGCAUUUGAUUUCUUCACUAAAAGGAUGUGCCAUCAUUUUUAUACUUCUCUUUGCUUCUUGGUAGACGUAUCCGGACACACAAGAUAACAUCUAUACUUUAGCUGAGGAUUGAAUUAUCGCCAUUCAUUGGACAUUUCUAUUAAUUCAUUUGAGCGAAGAUGGAGAGGGAAAGCAUGUUUGAACAAUCGAGAUGCUCAAGAUAUUUUCAUAGCAAUUGGAUAUCAUUACAUGUAGGAAUUACAUAAUAUAUAAUUACUUCAUCGAGGUUAAAAUAGGAGGUCAUCCUCUUGUUCUUUUAACACUCUAAUGAAAUGCGUUCAGUCCAACAAUAUUGUUUUGAAAUGACAUGUAGAUGGUGAAUAUGUGACUUGAUGUAAAACAACGUAAGUUCCUCAUCUUAAUAGGGCAAGCAAACUCUUUUUAAAUCUCUUGUAUGGGAACAAACAUAAGCCUGUUGGUCUUGAUUGAAGAUAAUAUUAAAAAUGUGUUUAUUGCAGUAAUUUAGAUUUGGCUUCAUCCUCGAGCUGCUGUAUAAAAGAGGAGCCAUACAAGUCAUCCAUGAACUGAGAUAAAAGGUGCUAAGUCAGUGAUUUUUAAACAUGACAUACAUGUUAUAUGAUUCUUACCAUUACUUCAUGUACUAUAUGUAAUGAAAAAAAGUUGACAAAGAUUGUCAUGAAAUAUAAUU